AGAAUCAACGCUGGCGGCGUGCCUAACACAUGCAAGUCGCACGAGAAAGGGGAGCAAUCCCUGAGUACAGUGGCGCACGGGUGAGUAACACGUGAAUUAUCUACCUCCGAGUGGGGAAUAACCAAAGAAAUUUUGGCUAAUACCGCAUAACACUUACGAGUCAAAGCAGCAAUGCGCUUGGAGAGGAGUUCGCGGCAGAUUAGCUAGUUGGCGGGGUAUGGCCCACCAAGGCGAUGAUCUGUA
rnacentral:rRNA from 1 species